GACGAAGGAUGCAAGCGUUAUCCGGAUUCAUUGGGUUUAAAGGGAGCGUAGGUGGCCUGCUAAGUCAGUGGUGAAAUCUUCUCGCUUAACGAGAAAACUGCCAUUGAUACUGGUGGGCUUGAGUACAGAUGCCGUUGGCGGAAUAUGACAUGUAGUGGUGAAAUACAUAGAGAUGUCAUAGAACACCGAUUGCGAAGGCAGCUAACGAAACUGUAACUGACACUGAGGCUCGAAAGUGCGGGGAUCAAACAGG
rnacentral:rRNA from 1 species